rnacentral:lncRNA from 1 species
AGACGCAGGGGACGUGUCAGACGUGCGACAGGAAGGGCUCAGCGAGGCGAGAGCGAAGCUGUGAGGAAGGAAGGCAGAAAAUGGAGCUGGUGUCUCAGUGAAGACAUGCCCAGAGAUGCCCAAAGAUGCCCAAUGGAUGAGCUGCUGCAACCUGUCUCAGCCAUGGGGGAUGGGAGAGCAAAGUGGAGAAAGGACAAAAAAAAAAAAAUGAGUAGAGAGAAAAGAAGUGAAUACAUAAUGCAAAAAUUAAAAUUACCUGAUAAGUCAGGACAUGGGAAGUUCUGCCUCCCUAAUGGGGACCCAGGAAGAUGUAGG